rnacentral:rRNA from 1 species
AUUGAACGCUGGCGGCAGGCCUAACACAUGCAAGUCGAACGGUAACAGGAAGAAGCUUGCUUCUUUGCUGACGAGUGGCGGACGGGUGAGUAAUGUCUGGGAAACUGCCUGAUGGAGGGGGAUAACUACUGGAAACGGUAGCUAAUACCGCAUAACGUCGCAAGACCAAAGAGGGGGACCUUCGGGCCUCUUGCCUUCGGAUGUGCCCAGAUGGGAUUAGCUAGUAGGUGGGGUAACGGCUCACCUAGGCGACGAUCCCUAGCUGGUCUGAGAGGAUGACCAGCCACACUGGAACUGAGACACGGUCCAGACUCCUACGGGAGGCAGCAGUGGGGAAUAUUGCACAAUGGGCGCAAGCCUGAUGCAGCCAUGCCGCGUGUAUGAAGAAGGCCUUCGGGUUGUAAAGUACUUUCAGCGGGGAGGAAGGGAGUAAAGUUAAUACCUGUGCUCAUUGACGUUACCCGCAGAAGAAGCACCGGCUAACUCCGUG